rnacentral:misc_RNA from 1 species
CCGAGUUUUCCAACUCCCAAACCCCGUGUGAACUUACCGUUUCCGUUGCUUCGGCGGUGUCGCCCCGGGCGCGGGCCUUCUGAAGGCCGCCAGCCCCGGACCCAGGCGCCCGCCGGAGGACCCCAAACUCCACUGUAUUACCCAUCGUCUUCUGAGUUUCUGCGCUCUCCGAGCGGCAAAGCAAUAGAAUCA